UACGGAGGGUGCAAACGUUGUCCGGAAUCACUGGGCGUAAAGAGCAUGUAGGUGGUUAUAUAAGUAAGCGAUUAAAGACCGACGCCUAACGUCGGGAAGGUUGCUUAGACUGUAUGACUUGAGUAUGGCAGGGGUAAGCGGAACUUUAGGUGUAGGAGUGAAAUCCGUAGAUAUCUAAAGGAACACCAAUGGCGAAGGCAGCUUACUGGGCCAUCACUGACACUGAGAUGCGAAAGCGUGGGGAGCAAACGGG
rnacentral:rRNA from 1 species